GCAGUGGUGGUUUAGUAGUAGAAUUCUCGCCCUCCAUGCAGGAGACUCGGGUUCGAUUCCUGGCCAAUGCA
rnacentral:tRNA from 1 species